rnacentral:rRNA from 1 species
CACGUAGGCGGAUUGCUAAGUCAGGGGUGAAAUCCUGGAGCUCAACUCCAGAACUGCCUUUGAUACUGGCGAUCUUGAGUCCGGGAGAGGUGAGUGGAACUGCGAGUGUAGAGGUGAAAUUCGUAGAUAUUCGCAAGAACACCAGUGGCGAAGGCGGCUCACUGGCCCGGUACUGACGCUGAGGUGCGAAAGCGUGGGGAGCAAACA